rnacentral:tmRNA from 1 species
GGGGACGCGUGGUUUCGACAGGGGGUGUAUGGCUGGAUUGCAGGCCGAGGUCGUCGUCGCACUCGUUAACUUGGCGGCAAAAAAUUAACUGGCGAAAAUAAAGUCGCUCUGGCUGCCUAAAUAGGCAACCCGUCCUAGCAUCUCUUCCCUGAGGGGAUGUAAAGGGCGCAAACUUAAUCAGGGUGCUGCUUGAGCUGACGCCGAUACGUGAUUAGCUUAAGACUUUAAUCGGCUAGCUGGACUUAAAUCCUUCCGAUGGGGUAACGUCUGGUAAAAAUUAAUACAUCGGAUACGCCUGGAGUAUAUCCUUCCAAAAGCUUUCUGGACGGGGAGUUCGACUCUCCCCCGUCUCCACCA